AGGGGGCUAGCGUUGUUCGGAAUUACUGGGCGUAAAGGGCGCGUAGGCGGCUUCGUUAGUCGGGGGUGAAAUGCCUGGGCUCAACCCAGGAACUGCACUCGAAACUCCGAGGCUAGAGUGUGGGAGAGGAUAGUGGAAUUCCCAGUGUAGAGGUGAAAUUCGUAGAUAUUGGGAAGAACACCGGUGGCGAAGGCGGCUAUCUGGACCACAACUGACGCUGAGGCGCGAAAGCGUGGGGAGCAAACAGG
rnacentral:rRNA from 1 species